AGAAUCAACGCUGGCGGCGUGCCUAACACAUGCAAGUCGAACGAGAAAGUGGAGCAAUCCAUGAGUAAAGUGGCGACCGGGUGAGUAACACGUGACUAACCUACCUUCGAGUGGGGGAUAACAUCGGGAAACCGAUGCUAAUACCGCAUAACAUCGCAAGAUCAAAGCAGCAAUGCGCUGGAAGAGGGGGUCGCGGCUGAUUAGCUAGUUGGCGGGGUAACGCCCACCAAGGCGAAGAUCGGUAGCCGGCCUGAGAGGGCGCACGGCCACACUGGAACUGAAACACGGUCCAGACUCCUACGGGAGGCAGCAGUGGGGAAUUUUGCGCAAUGGGGGAAACCCUGACGCAGCAACGCCGCGUGGAGGAUGAAGCCCUUGGGGCGUAAACUCCUUUCGACCAAGACGAUAAUGACGGUACUGGUGGAAGAAGCACCGGCUAACUCUGCGCCAGCAGCCGC
rnacentral:rRNA from 1 species